AGGGGUGUGGCGCAAUGGUAGCGCAGAGCUCUCCAAAGGCUAAGGCUGCAGGUUCGAGUCCUGUCACCCCUG
rnacentral:tRNA from 1 species